UCAAAGUGCGAGUGGCGAACGGGUGAGUAACACGUGGGCAAUCUGCCCAAAAGUGGGGGAUAACACUUGGAAACAGGUGCUAAUACCGCAUCAACCGGCUGACCGCAUGGUCGGCCGGGCAAAGACGGCGUCAGCUGUCGCUUUUGGAUGAGCCCGCGGCGUAUUAACUAGUUGGUAAGGUAACGGCUUACCAAGGUGAUGAUACGUAGCCGAACUGAGAGGUUGAUCGGCCACAUUGGGACUGAGACACGGCCCAAACUCCUACGGGAGGCAGCAGUAGGGAAUCUUCCACAAUGGACGCAAGUCUGAUGGAGCAACGCCGCGUGUAUGAAGAAGGUCUUCGGAUCGUAAAAUACUGUUGUCAGAGAAGAACACGUGAUAGAGUAACUGCUAUGGCGCUGACGGUAUCUGACCAGCAAGUCACGGCUAACUACGUGCCAGCAGCCGCGGUAAUACGUAGGUGGCAAGCGUUGUCCGGAUUUAUUGGGCGUAAAGGGAACGCAGGCGGUCUUUUAAGUCUGAUGUGAAAGCCUUCGGCUUAACCGGAGAAGUGCAUUGGAAACUGGAAGACUUGAGUGCAGAAGAGGAGAGUGGAACUCCAUGUGUAGCGGUGAAAUGCGUAGAUAUAUGGAAGAACACCAGUGGCGAAAGCGGCUCUCUGGUCUGUAACUGACGCUGAGGUUCGAAAGCGUGGGGAGCGAACAGGAUUAGAUAC
rnacentral:rRNA from 1 species